rnacentral:siRNA from 1 species
UGAACAGGUAAGUCAUGUACGUAC